AUUGAACGCUGGCGGCAUGCCUUACACAUGCAAGUCGAACGGCAGCACGGGGGCAACCCUGGUGGCGAGUGGCGGACGGGUGAGUAAUGCAUCGGAACGUGCCCUGAAGUGGGGGAUAACGCAGCGAAAGCUACGCUAAUACCGCAUAUUCUGUGAGCAGGAAAGCAGGGGAUCGCAAGACCUUGCGCUUUGGGAGCGGCCGAUGUCGGAUUAGCUAGUUGGUGGGGUAAAGGCCUACCAAGGCGACGAUCCGUAGCGGGUCUGAGAGGAUGAUCCGCCACACUGGGACUGAGACACGGCCCAGACUCCUACGGGAGGCAGCAGUGGGGAAUUUUGGACAAUUGGGCGAAAGCCUGAUCCAGCCAUGCCGCGUGAGUGAAGAAGGCC
rnacentral:rRNA from 1 species